GCCCCCGUAGCCCAAUCGGCAGAGGCGGGCGACUUAAAAUCGCUGCAGUGUGGGUUCGAGUCCCACCGGGGGCA
rfam:Microbacterium chocolatum strain SIT 101 genomic scaffold Scaffold10, whole genome shotgun sequence.